GAUGAACGCUGGCGGCGUGCCUAAUACAUGCCAGUCGAGCGAACAGACGAGGAGCUUGCUCCUCUGACGUUAGCGGCGGACGGGUGAGUAACACGUGGAUAACCUACCUAUAAGACUGGGAUAACUUCGGGAAACCGGAGCUAAUACCGGAUAAUAUAUUGAACCGCAUGGUUCAAUAGUGAGAGACGGUUUUGCUGUCACUUAUAGAUGGCUCCGCGCCGCAUUAGCUAGUUGGUAAGGUAGCGGCUUACCAAGGCAACGAUGCGUAGCCGACCUGAGAGGGUGAUCGGCCACACUGGAACUGAGACACGGUCCAGACUCCUACGGGAGGCAGCAGUAGGGAAUCUUCCGCAAUGGGCGAAAGCCUGACGGAGCAACGCCGCGUGAGUGAUGAAGGUCUUCGGAUCGUAAAACUCUGUUAGUAGGGAAGAACAAAUGUGUAAGUAACUAUGCACGUCUUGACGGUACCUAAUCAGAAAGCUACGGCUAACUACGUG
rnacentral:rRNA from 1 species